ACAAGGGCAAUAUUUCUAUCAAGGUAUUAGUAGUCUGCAUCUUCAUUAUGAUCAAAAGUGAUAUCAUGCAUUAUGAAGUCCUCCUUUGUACCCUCAAAAUUUUAGUUCUGUAGAGACAUCCUUGGAAGUUGAUACCAUCAUCUUUUUUGCUUUCCAUACCAUCACAGGCAAAAUUUUACUUUUCUAAGAGGAGUUCUAUCUUUACUGGUUAUAACAUACAUAACCUUGGACAUACCUGUUAACUGAAACCAGAGAAACAUAGGAAUUGCCUAUGGUUCUUUCUUCCUGCAAGUGGAACUCCCUUUCACAGGGGAGAGUAGUCGCAUACCUGUGAAGUCUAGGGUGGACCUGGUGGUGUUUCCUGCGACAUAUAUGCAAGUCCCUGUUGUUUUCUUCUUGUUUAUUGGUGAAUUUUCUUUUGUUGCUGCAUAUUUUAAUUCCUUUCUUUUCUAAUACUCUACAUUGACAAUGUAGAUCUGGUAUGGUAUUUAUUUGUGUAUAUUAUAAUGCUUCAUGAUAGAAAAAGAACUGUGCAUUGUAGGAUGGAGUGACCUUAAAUAGAAGGGAAAAAAAAUUUUCAGUAAAUUGUCAGUGGUACAUCAUGGUUUACCAUAAGUUUUAAUGGACAGUAGUUAAAAGAUAUUUCCCCUAUAUUAGAGUACAUAUGUUUCCCACAACUUUUGGUUAUGUUGCUGGUGCAAUAUUCAUUGACAAUAACUCUUCUUCAAUCUUUUUACAGGAGCUUAGUGACAUGACAGCCA
rnacentral:misc_RNA from 1 species